UACGAAGGGGGCUAGCGUUGCUCGGAACCACUGGGCGUAAAGCGCACGUAGGCGGCUUUCUAAGUCAGGGGUGAAAUCCUGGAGCUCAACUCCAGAACUGCCUUUGAUACUGGGAAGCUCGAGUCCGGGAGAGGUGAGUGGAACUCCGAGUGUAGAGGUGAAAUUCGUAGAUAUUCGGAAGAACACCAGUGGCGAAGGCGGCUCACUGGCCCGGUACUGACGCUGAGGUGCGAAAGCGUGGGGAGCAAACAGG
rnacentral:rRNA from 1 species